CUUCCGGGGUCUCGGUUAGUUCCGAGGAGCUCUGGACUCCCCCGGAAUGCAUUUUGCGGUGGACCCGGCGCCCCAGCCAACAGGACUGGAGAGCCGCUCCCAGUCGAAGUGGCAGUUGUCAAGGGAGAACUCUCCUAGGACAGGGUAGCAAGGAAGAGGCCAAGUCCCACCGGUUUCUAAGCUCAGCACAGGAGGAGGCCGCGGCUCUGGCGCCACCUCCGCGGAAUCCCAAGCCUGCUUCACAGGGCCCAGAAAAUGCUACUCCAUCAGGUGAGCCUCAGACAGCAGGACAGAAGCCUCUGCGCUGAUGGAGAGAUGAGGCAGAGCCUCCGCACCAUCGCCAUCCCCAGUAUUUAUGGUCUUCCAGGCGGAGGACGGAGACAAGCCAGAGAGGCUAAAACGCAGUGAUAGCAAACUCAGGAGCUCAGUAGGCGAAAACAUCAUACAUAAAACCGAAACGAUUAGACGUGAUGGGAAAACGUAGCCGAAUAACAAGCCGAAAUAAACGGAGCUGAAGGGGACCUGAACCUAAGAAAUCCAUAGCCGGCUCUGAGGGCCUGCAUCACUGUACAAAUUGCCUCCUGCCCAUUUUAUGCUGUAUCGCGCCGAGGUUUGCAGGCGGCUGCUGUGCCUGCUCUGACUCUCUUAGUACCACAAGAGUGCCCUGUUACUGGCACCAGUUUCCUAUGGAGCCAUGGCAUUUCUCCUAGCUGAGUCUAUGGAUGGAGCUGCUGCACCCUCUCCCCAAGCUCCUUGCUUCUCUGUGACUGACCAUUUAAAUGACUAAAGGCAGCUCAAAGAGGCAUUCUUUUGACAACAGCAAUGUUCUUCUAAAGCCCUAAUGUCUCCUGUGCUGUUGCGACCUUGUUCCCUGGCCAAUAGGUGCAGCGCCUUGGGGCUCAGUGUUUCAUGGGGCAGCAAGGCUCAUUGCCAGGAGACCCAAGGCCAGGCAGGGAUAGCAGUCCUUUGUAGGUUCAGUUCCCCUUCAGCUGCUUUUAUUUCAUUCUGUUAUUCAGCUAUGAUUUUCUGUUGCCUUUAAUCCUUUCGGUUUUAUGUAGGAGACCCCACUGGCCAGAUAGCGAUGUAUAUCCCACAGCCACACCCUCAGAGAAUCCUUUCUCAGGCCACACCCCAGAGGCCUACAGGUACCACUCAGUAAAUCCCAUCAGGGAUUCAUUCACUCAUUAAAUCAAGGCUAAUUAAGCCCAAUCAUUUCUGCGCCAAACUUUGCAUGGUCUCACACGUGAGCUUUUGGGCCACACCACAUAACACGUGCUCCUGGAGGAACAAGUCAGGAAACAGAAAGCUUUCCAGACUGCUGAUGUCCAUUGUGGACUAUCCAGCUUUUGGUCAAGUAAACCAAUCUAAUCGAUGGCUAUUUUAUAAUCAUACUUCCUGUUGAUUCUGUUCCUCUAGAGAACCCUAAUACACCUUCCUGGUCAUUGUUUCUGCUUCAUCCCCCAAAUUUUGGUACAGUGUGUUUUUCAUUGUUAUUCACAUCUAUGUAUUUUUCUACUUAGCCUUGUGCUUUUUUCCUUGAUCAGAAAAUUGUUUGAAAUGCUUUUUGAUUUCUACAAAUUUCUGAAUUUUUACUUCCCCUUUUUUAUUAUUGAUUUCUAGCUUCAUCCCAUUAGGUGUUUAGAAGACACUAAUGGCUAUCUUUACAAUGUUUUUUUUUAAAAAAUCUUCAUUAUGGACCAUGAAUACCUUUCAUAAGGGAUUAUAAUCAAACCUACCCCAAAGAGCCUCCUCAUAUAUUGGUGACUCAUUUUUCAAGAUAUGAGUUGGACAGAGUGGGGUAUGAGGUGAUAGAUCAACCAGAUUACAGCACCAGAUCUAAAACCCAAAACUCAUUUCCCAUUUUUAAAUUACUGUUUGGAAGUAUUCCUACUCACAAGUAUUGUACCAUGCAGGCAGAGUUCAGGAAAGAAAAGCAUUACAACCAAACCAUGUUGUGUGAAUCUAGGUAUUGUGCUGACAACCUUGCUAAAGUCAGAAGAAAAAUGUCUAUUUUUCAGUGACUUGUAUGGAGCAAUACUUCCUCCCACUUACAAAAACUGACAGAUGCUAGAUUUUUGUUGUUGUUGUUGUUGUUGUUAAUCUCAUUAACUGAGCUUUGUGAUGGGAUUUCCUUUCAGGAUUAAAGCCAACACCACCCAGUUUCCCAGUCUGUGGUUAGAAAGUCCCUGGAGGCCAGAUGGGUUUAAGAACACCCAAACUGCUGCCUGCUAAGUCCCACAUACUUGGUGGUGCCUGGUCUGAGCCCACAAAGCCAUGGAGCAGUGAUUUCCCUGCUGUGUGCCACAGGCUUAGAAUUCUGCAGACCAGGCACCAGGGCUCCAGAGGCCACCUAAUCUCAAUAUAUCCUGGGCCCUUGACACUGCCCUUCUACAUCCACCUGCCAGAUACCUCCUAUGACUGCCAAGACUUCCACUGCAACCUGCAUUCCACAUCCCGAGGGUGUCAUUCCUGGCAUGGGUUAGGAAAAGGUGACUUUCCCAGAGGACACAGCACCUUGCACCAGGACACAGAGCCUCUUGUGCUGGACAGGGCAUUCUCAACCCAGACCAAGUCCCAGGUGUCCCACCAUUGACCACCCGCUGGGGCUCCCUUGUCUUGUUCCAGGUGCACCUGUGAUGAAAGUCUGGAGCCCAAGACCUCUGGUGGUGGUGAUUCUUGUAAGAGUCCUCUUCUUUCUGCCCCUGCAAGCCACCAUGGGACUAGCCAAAGCUGCUGGCAGUGGAUUCAGGCCCUUCUGCACAGGACUCCUUGAGGCUGCUUGAGUCUGCAACCUUUAGGGCCCAGCAGCAUUGAGAUUUCCUUUGUUUGGAGGAGCAUUUUGGAACAGAUCUUCUAACAGUAAUGCUUGCCAUGGAGGCUUCAGAGCUAUUGUGCAUGUUUCUUUCUUUCUUUUUUUUUUUCUUUUUUCUCAAUAAAAUUGUGCUAAAAUGUGAAA
rnacentral:lncRNA from 1 species